rnacentral:rRNA from 1 species
GGUUAAGCGACUAAGCGUACACGGUGGAUGCCCUGGCAGUCAGAGGCGAUGAAGGACGUGCUAAUCUGCGAUAAGCGCCGGUAAGGUGAUAUGAACCGUUAUAACCGGCGAUUUCCGAAUGGGGAAACCCAGUGUGACUCGUCACACUAUCAUUAACUGAAUCCAUAGGUUAAUGAGGCGAACCGGGGGAACUGAAACAUCUAAGUACCCCGAGGAAAAGAAAUCAACCGAGAUUCCCCCAGUAGCGGCGAGCGAACGGGGAGGAGCCCAGAGCCUGAAUCAGCAUGUGUGUUAGUGGAAGCG